rnacentral:rRNA from 1 species
GAUGAACGCUAGCGGCAGGCCUAACACAUGCAAGUCGAGGGGUAACAGGAGUAGCAAUACUUGCUGACGACCGGCGCACGGGUGAGUAACGCGUAUGCAACCUACCCAUAACAGGGGGAUAGCCCGGAGAAAUUCGGAUUAAUACCGCAUAAAAUUAUCGGAUCGCAUGGUUUGAUGAUUAAAUUCACGGAGGUUAUGGAUGGGCAUGCGUGACAUUAGCUAGUUGGUAGGGUAACGGCCUACCAAGGCUACGAUGUCUAGGGGGCCUGAGAGGGUAGUCCCCCACACUGGUACUGAGACACGGACCAGACUCCUACGGGAGGCAG